rnacentral:rRNA from 1 species
UACGUAGGGGGCAAGCGUUUGUCCGGAUUUAUUGGGCGUAAAGAGCGUGUAGGCGGCCAGGUAGGUCUGCUGUGAAAACUCGAGGCUUAACCUCGAGAUGUCGGCGGAAACCAUCUGGCUAGAGUCCGGAAGAGGAGAGUGGAAUUCCUGGUGUAGCGGUGAAAUGCGCAGAUAUCAGGAAGAACACCCGUGGCGAAGGCGGCUCUCUGGGACGGUACUGACGCUGAGACGCGAAAGCGUGGGGAGCGAACAGG